rnacentral:rRNA from 1 species
UACGUAGGGUGCGAGCGUUAAUCGGAAUUACUGGGCGUAAAGCGUGCGCAGGCGGUUUUGUAAGCCAGAUGUGAAAGCCCCGGGCUCAACCUGGGAAUGGCAUUUGGGACUGCAAGGCUGGAGUAUGGCAGAGGAGACUAGAAUUCCUGGUGUAGCAGUGAAAUGCGUAGAUAUCAGGAGGAAUACCGAUGGCGAAGGCAGGUCUCUGGGCCAAUACUGACGCUCAGGAGCGAAAGCGUGGGGAGCAAACAGG